UUAUGAAUUUAGAAUAUCAUCAAGUGACUUUUAAUAAGGCACUGUUUUCAGUGGAUGAACCGACAUCAUGCAGUGUGACAGGAAAACGCCCGUGAGACCAAAGAUGGCUUAGAUAAAAGGGAAGACGAUGCAGAAGCCUCUGUACCAAAGAAAAAUCCAGAGAUGGCCCUCAAAGAAGUUAGAAACAAGAUGAGAGACCGUCUCAAGUUGUUUAGGUCUGGAGCCACCUUCCCCCACCCACGAGUCGAAGAAAUAGAUCUUUGAACCAGGUUACCCGUGACAUCAAGAUAAACAAAAUUCAACUUCAGGGACAAUUUGAUAAUACCUAUUUUAAAAUUUUUUUUUAGCUCACCUGGGCCAAAGGUUCAAGUGAGCUUUUCUGAUCAAAAUUUGUUCGUUGUCUGUCGUC